CAGCACAAUAACAUGUUUAAAGUGAAGAGCACACCCACAGGACUUCAAAAUAAAAAUUUUUUACAGUUGUGCCCUACAUACAUUCACCAUUUCAGUCCCAUUAACAAGCUUUCCUUAAUAUGUCAAGGUAGUUGGACUGAAACAUUGAUUACAUGCAAAGGCACGUCUGCUUAAAAUAAAUCUGCACUUUUGUUUAUUUUGAAGCCUA